rnacentral:rRNA from 1 species
UACGUAGGGUGCAAGCGUUAAUCGGAAUUACUGGGCGUAAAGCGUGCGCAGGCGGCUCGUGAAGUCGGGUGUGAAAGCCCGGGGCUCAACCCCGGAACGGCAUCCGAUACUGGCGGGCUUGAGACCGGGAGAGGAGGGUGGAAUACCCAGUGUAGAGGUGAAAUUCGUAGAUAUUGGGUGGAACACCGGUGGCGAAAGCGGCUCUCUGGCCCGGAUCUGACGCUGAGGCGCGAAAGCGUGGGGAGCAAACAGG